rnacentral:rRNA from 1 species
GGGCCCGCACAAGCAGUGGAGUAUGUGGUUUAAUUCGACGAUACGCGAACAACCUUACCAGGUCUUGACAUCCAACUAACGAGAUAGAAAUAUAUUAGGUGCCCUUCGGGGAAAGUUGAGACAGGUGGUGCAUGGUUGUCGUCAGCUCGUGUCGUGAGAUGUUGGGUUAAGUCCCGCAACGAGCGCAACCCUUGCGGUUAGUUGCUACGAAAGAGCACUCUAACAGGACUGCCGUUGACAAAACGGAGGAAGGUGGGGAUGACGUCAAAUCAUCAUGCCCUUUAUGACCUGGGUCUACACACGUACUACAAUGGCUGUUAACAACGAGAAGCUACAGAGCGAUCUAGAGCCAAACUCAAAAAGCAGCCCCAGUUCAGAUUGUAGGCUGAAACUCGCCUAUAUGAAGUAGGAAUUGCUAGUAAUCGCGAAUCAGAAUGUCG